GACGAACGCUGGCGGCGUGCCUAAUACAUGCAAGUCGAACGCAGUGGGGACGGGUGAGUAACCUGUGGGUAACCUCCCAUCAGAGGGGAUACCACUUGGAAACAGGUGCUAAACUGAUAUUGAUGGAUGGACCCGCGGUGCAUUAGCCAGUUGGUGAGGUAACGGCUCACCAAGGCCACGAUGCAUACCCGGCCUGAGAGGGUGAUCGGCAACACUGGGACUGAGACACGGCCCAGACUCCUACGGGAGGCAGCAGUAGGGAAUCUUGGGCAAUGGACGAAAGUCUGACGGAGCAACGCCGCGUGUGUGAAGAAGGUUUUCGGAUCGUAAAGCUCUGUUAUUAGAGAAGCGGUAUCUAACCAGAAAGCCACGGCUAACUACGUGCCAGCAGCCGCGGUAAUAC
rnacentral:rRNA from 1 species